GAUUUCCUUUAAGAGCAUCAAAAUUUCAAAAAUCUAGAUUAGUCCUUUUGUUAAAAGAUCUUAAUAACUUCUGGUUCCCUGAUCAGAAGAGCACAAGU